rnacentral:rRNA from 1 species
GACGAACGCUGGCGGCGCGCCUAACACAUGCAAGUCGAACGAGAGAAGAAGAGCUUGCUUUUCUGAUCGAGUGGCGAACGGGCGAGUAACGCGUGAGGAACCUGCCUCAAAGAGGGGGACAACAGUUGGAAACGACUGCUAAUACCGCAUAAGCCCACGGCUCGGCAUCGAGCAGAGGGAAAAGGAGCAAUCCGCUUUGAGAUGGCCUCGCGUCCGAUUAGCUAGUUGGUGAGGUAAUGGCCCACCAAGGCGACGAUCGGUAGCCGGACUGAGAGGUUGAACGGCCACAUUGGGACUGAGACACGGCCCAGACUCCUACGGGAGGCAGCAGUGGGGAAUAUUGCACAAUGGGGGAAACCCUGAUGCAGCGACGCCGCGUGGAGGAAGAAGGUCUUCGGAUUGUAAACUCCUGUUGUUGAGGAAGAUAAUGACG